ACAUGCAAGUCGAGGGGAAACGAUAUUGGAAGCUUGCUUCCGAUAGGCGUCGACCGGCGGAAGGGUGCGUAACGCGUGAGCGACAUGCCCGUUGCCCGGGGACAACCGGUGGAAACGCCGACUAAUCCCCGAUGGGACGGAGGCCCUCAUGGGUCUCUGUUGAAAGUUACGGCGGCGACGGAUUGGCUCGCGUCCGAUUAGCUAGUUGGCGGGGUAACGGCCCACCAAGGCUACGAUCGGUAGGGGUUCUGAGAGGAAGGUCCCCACAAUGGAACUGAGACACGGUCCAUACUCC
rnacentral:rRNA from 1 species